rnacentral:rRNA from 1 species
UACGAAGGGUGCAAACGUUGUUCGGAAUUACUGGGCGUAAAGCGCGUGUAGGCGGCUUUGCAAGUCGGGUGUGAAAUCCCACGGCUCAACCGUGGAAGUGCACUCGAAACUGCAAGGCUAGAGUCCUGGAGAGGAAGGUGGAAUGCUUGGUGUAGAGGUGAAAUUCGUAGAUAUCAAGCGGAACACCGGUGGCGAAGGCGGCCUUCUGGACAGUGACUGACGCUGAGACGCGAAAGCGUGGGGAGCAAACAGG